rnacentral:lncRNA from 1 species
GACUGGUUGAAUCUCCUUGCAGUCCAAGGGACUCUCGAGUCUUCUCCAACGCCACAGUUCAUAGCUUAUAUAUUAUUAACGGUUUAUAGAUUAAAGGUGGUAUGCAAUUCAAGGAUAGAAAAGCAAAAAUAUAUCUUUACCAUUACUUGAGUACUCUCAGAUUUUUGAGUAUUCAGUUAUUGGAGGGGAAAAGAAGUUCUUGGAGUUCUUCAGCCUCUAACAGUACUUGCCAUUAAUACCUUUGAUAUAUGGCUUUUAAAGCAGUUAUACCUUGCUAGGAAUUCAUUCUUAACAUGAAUAAUGAUGUAUGGGGAAUCUUAUUUAUCACAGAUAUAUCCAAUAUAUAUUUCUCUUAUCACAAAUAUUUUAUAUAAAAUGCUCAUAUUACAAAAUAAAAGGUAGAAUCAUUAAGUCAUUAUCAUAUUCAUUAAGGCAGGUUNNNNNNNNNNNNNNNNNNNNNNNNNNNNNNNNNNNNNNNNNNNNNNGAUAAAUAUACUGAUUUAUUUGUAAAAUAUAUAAUUCUAAUAGAAUAGUAUUUCAAAAUAAGUAACUUCUUGAUUUAAAAAUGCAUAUAUACCACACAAUAACAUGUGAAAUUAUUCAAUCUAAAAAGUGAGAAAUUCAAUAUUAAAAUAAACAAAGUUAUCUGAUCCAGGGUAAGGAAUAUACUUUUGAAGGAACCGUUAGUCUUAUUUAAAUGAAAUUAUCUUAGGAAAGAAACAAAAUAAACAUUCAGUAUUAUACAUGUACAUUAUUCAGCAUUUCAAUGCAAAAGGACAAAGGUGAAUUGCUGGCUUCCAUUUGCAAAGAAAUAGAGGAAAACAAUAUAAUGGGAAAGUCGAGAGAUCUCUUCAAGAAAAUUAGAAAUACCAAGGGAAUAUCUCAUGCAAAGACGGGCUCAAUAAAUGACAGAAAUGGUAUCGACCUAACAGAAGCAGAUGAUAUUAAGAAGAGGUGGCAUGAAUGCACAGAAAACUAUACAAAAAAAGAUAUUCAUGACCCAGAUAAUCACAACUGUGAUUGUGAGCCAGAUAUCCUGGAAUGCAAAGUCAAGUGGGCCUUAGGAAGCAUCAC